UACGUAGGGACCGAGCGUUGUCCGGAAUCAUUGGGCGUAAAGAGCGUGUAGGCGGCCACUUAAGUCCUGCGUGAAAUCUUGCGGCUCAACCGCAAGCGGUCGUGGGAAACUGGGUCGGCUAGAGUGCGGGAGAGGAGAGUGGAAUUCCUGGUGUAGCGGUGGAAUGCGCAGAUAUCAGGAAGAACACCCGUGGCGAAGGCGGCUCUCUGGAACGCAACUGACGCUGAGACGCGAAAGCGUGGGGAGCAAACAGG
rnacentral:rRNA from 1 species